rnacentral:rRNA from 1 species
GACGAACGCUGGCGGCGUGCUUAACACAUGCAAGUCGAACGGAAAGGCCCUGCUUUUGUCGGGUGCUCGAGUGGCGAACGGGUGAGUAACACGUGAGUAACCUGCCCUUGACUUUGGGAUAACUUCAGGAAACUGGGGCUAAUACCGGAUAGGAGCUCCUGCUGCAUGGUGGGGGGUGGAAAGUUUCGGCGGUUGGGGAUGGACUCGCGGCUUAUCAGCUUGUUGGUGGGGUAGUGGCUUACCAAGGCUUUGACGGGUAGCCGGCCUGAGAGGGUGACCGGCCACAUUGCGACUGAGCUACGGCCCAGACUCCUACGGGAGACAGCAGUGGGGAAUCUUGCCCAGUGGGCGGAAGCGUGACGCAGCGACGCCGCGGGCGGGAUCAGGGCCUUAGGGUUGUAAACCGCUUUCGCCUGUGACGAAGCGUGAGUGACGGUAAUGGGUAAAGAAGCACCGGCUAACUACGUG